GCUGUCACUGUGGAGAACAACCACCGCGGCAGCCGCCUGGUCUCCUUCAUCAAGGUGCUCACCAUGGAGGUGUACAACGUGACCCUCAGCCAGGAACACCCCCAGAAGGUCGAGGGUCAUUCCACGGCAUUGGGUUAGGUUUCAAGGUCAUUGUGUGGUCUUCAGGAAUGUUUCAAGGUCAUCAUGUGGCAUCUAGAUGGUCCUCAAGGUCAUUCUAUGACACCUGGCCCCCUUCGAGCCCCGGAUUGGUGGAUUUUGGAUCCGCGCGGUGAUUGGUCCGUUCCCAGGCUUCCCAUUGGUCUUUAACGCCGUUCAUUCUGGACCAAUCAUUUCUGCAGGGCGUCGAGUGAUUGGUCAGAUCCUGCAUCCAAUCGUCUUCGUCCUCGCUCUGCCCUCCACAAACCCUGGGCCCUUCUUCCAGAACAUUCUAACAAUUCUAACCCUUAACACCACACAAUUAAUACAAUAUAAUUAAACUCUAAUCUCAUCUAACAUAACUUUUACUGAUAACAAGGUGCAGUGCCACCGCUGCCAGCUGCUCCCCAAGAUCCUUGGUGAAAUAAA